rnacentral:rRNA from 1 species
GGUUGAUCCUGCCAGUAGUCAUAUGCUUGUCUCAAAGAUUAAGCCAUGCAUGUCUAAGUAUAAACAACUUUAUACUGUAAAACUGCGUACAGCUCAUUAAAUCAGUCAUUAUUUAUUUGAUGGUACCUUACUACAUGGAUACCCGUAGUAAUUCUAGAGCUAAUACAUGCACAAAGUCGCGACUCUCGGGGAGCGAUGUAUUUAUUAGAUACAAAACCAAUGCAGGCAACUGCUUUUGUGGUGAAUCAUAGUAACUGAUCGAAUCGCAUAGCUUUGCUGGCGAUAGUUCAUU